CAACCCUGGAAGCGCUGGCUGAGCAACAGGGUGGCGAAGGCAGCUGACGACCAUCGCUUCCUGUAAUGAGGAAGCUGGCCAUAACAAAUGCUGCAACCACUUCAACGUUACAGUAGACGAGACGCAGAGCAGAAGACACUCUGGAGUUCGCAUUACAAGGGGCUCACGAUUAAUCUGUCCAAUAUUUCCUGCGUGCCUUCCUGGAGACGCAUCCUUCUGCGCUGUCCUACCUGCCGUAACCAUAUGUAGGACCAUGCAGCUACCCUUUCACUACGGCUGAAAUGCUAAACCGGCCAGCGCGAUCACCCACUGCAUCACCUGACGCAAGCGACCGAGUGGCCAGCUCUACACCGAAUGGAGCGUUGCUUGGAAUUUGUCGGCAGCGGCGAUAGACACGUCCUCUGAACUCUUCUUACUGCAGUUGCAGAUCUCUCCUCCGCGUUCUCCUGACCGAUAGAAGUCACUACUUUUCAAGCUCGUGGGGACAGCAGUAGUCCAAGCGGCUACGAGAACAAUGGAGCAUCCACCGAAAUAAGAAGGGAACACUCGGAAUCGACGGGCCCGCACGCACACCAAGGUACCCUUCAGUAUAUGAAAGGACUCUCCCAA